GGGGUAGUUACGGUUUCGAUUGCUUGUGGAGGGCCUUGUAAGCAUACCGAAGCGCCCUGCUUCGUAAAAAAGGGCAAAAAAAAUUAAAUGCUAACACUAAUAAAUUAGCGUUCGCCGCGUAGUUUUUCGCGGCUGUCCAUGGCGGGUCACCCAUCGGCUUGCCACCGGGCAUCAUUUUCAGAUGGGGAACGUCCUUUUACGAAUUUGUCGCGGCGUAGAGGAUGUAUUUGGCGACACACGGCGGAAAAGGUUUGUUCUUCGAAGUUUUUCGCAAGGGUUUAAAGAAGAAAUAAGUAUGUAGAAAGCAGGUGUGAAGCAGGUAAGACGGCGGUUCAACUCCGCCCUACUCCACCA
rnacentral:tmRNA from 1 species